GCCGGGGUGGCCGAGCGGCCCAAGGCGCGGGACUUGAGAUCCCGUCCCCGCGAGGGGGCGUGGGUUCAAAUCCCACCCCCGGCG
rnacentral:tRNA from 3 species